GAGUUUGAUCCUGGCUCAGGACGAACGCUGGCGGCGUGCUUAACACAUGCAAGUCGAACGGUGAUGUCAGAGCUUGCUCUGGCGGAUCAGUGGCGAACGGGUGAGUAACACGUGAGUAACCUGCCCCCGACUCUGGGAUAACUGCUAGAAAUGGUAGCUAAUACCGGAUAUGAYGAUUGGCCGCAUGGUCUGGUCGUGGAAAGAAUUUCGGUUGGGGAUGGACUCGCGGCCUAUCAGGUUGUUGGUGAGGUAAUGGCUCACCAAGCCUACGACGGGUAGCCGGCCUGAGAGGGUGACCGGCCACACUGGGACUGAGACACGGCCCAGACUCCUACGGGAGGCAGCAGUGGGGAAUAUUGCACAAUGGGCGCAAGCCUGAUGCAGCAACGCCGCGUGAGGGAUGACGGCCUUCGGGUUGUAAACCUCUUUUAGUAGGGAAGAAGCGAAAGUGAC
rnacentral:rRNA from 1 species